rnacentral:misc_RNA from 1 species
AACGCACCUUGCGCCCCUUGGUAUUCCGAGGGGCAUGCCUGUUUGAGUGUCUUGAAAUCAUCAAACCGAACCGGUCUUUGUUGGCCGGCGCGGUUUGGACUUGGGGGUUUCCUUGCUGCCGCUCGCGGUGGCUCCCCUUAAAUUCAUCGGUCGGGCUUUCGUGCGGCUCUGUCCCUUGGCGUUGUAUUACCCUCGUCGCUGGAUGGCUCGCGAUACUGCGCCCUUCUUUGACCUGCCUCUGGAGCGGCGGUCUUCAACUUUUGUGAUCUGACCUCAAAUCAGGUAGGACUACCCGCUGAACUUAA